rnacentral:lncRNA from 1 species
GGCAACUAGAAAUGGCCACGGAUGUUAACUAACUCCCUCCUCAACAGUCUGAGAAAAGGGAAAAAAAAACUCUCUGACUUCUGGUUGUUCUGGUCUCAGAAAAACGGACUUCGAGCUAGUGACCCCGAUAUUCCAAUCUUAUUUCUAAUGAGGAUUACUGACAGGUGUCCAAAUGCUGCUGGUCACUUUGAGAACCACUGCUUUAGAAGAUGACAGUUGGAUGGAGGAGGGUUUUCCUCUAGGUAAGAAAUAAUUGAAU